rnacentral:rRNA from 1 species
AUUGAACGCUGGCGGCAGGCCUAACACAUGCAAGUCGAACGAGUGGCGGACGGGUGAGUAAUGUCUGGAAACUGCCUGAUGGAGGGGGGUAAAUACUGGAAACGGUAGCUAAUACCCCAUUCCAUCAGAUGUGCCCAGAUGGGGUUAGCUAGGUGGUGGGGUAACGGCUCACCAAGGCGACGGUCCCUAGCUGGUCGGAGAUGAUGACCAGCCACACUGGAACUGAGACACGGUCCAGACUCCUACGGGAGGCAGCAGUGGGGAAUAUUGCACAAUGGGCGCAAGCCUGAUGCAGCCAUGCCGCGUGUAUGAAGAAGGCCUUCGGGUUGUAAAGUACUUUCAGCGGGGAGGCGUUACCCGCAGAAGAAGCACCGGCUAACUCCGUGCCAGCAGCCGCGGUAAUUC